CCUCCUGUACUUCCUGUACAGCUCAUAUUACACUCUGAGCUAAUUCCGGUGCCCUCUGCACUGUGAAUUGACUGUCCCUCUGUUUCCCACGGAACAGUCCCAACAUUCCCAUUAUGUUUUGCUUUCAAGCUACCAGCUCGCGGCCGCAUUGCUUCUAUAUCGUAACAUACUCCCCCAUAUGAAUCAAUGUGCGCUACGAGCAAAGCGUGAUCCAGAGAAGAAAACAAACAGUUGUUAUACAUAUAACACUCGCCUGUUGUUUCAGUUCCACCCUUGGAACUACCCGCCACUGGUUUCUGUUGGGUUGAAAUCACGACAGACGAGUGGUGGGUGUCAAAGGAGAGGCGUCUGCCGCGGCAAGCCCCGGGAACUCUCUUUUAUUGAAUAUUACAAACAUUGCCACAGGUGUGCUUGUGGCUGAUUGGUUGAUACAAACACAAAGCAUCUUGUUGCUGAUUGGUUAACAUAGGUACAAGGCGGGAAUAACAUAUUACAUUAAUCACUGAUAGAUUAAAGACUGGGAACGGAGCUGGAACUAGACAGGCAUGAAACCUCCUAAUUAAAUGGUAACUAAAGAUUGAUAUUGAGAGAACAUAACAUGAAGGAAUACAACAAUCACGUUCCGUAGAUGUGGUCAGCAAAGCAUUAAGAACAGGUCAGAAUACACUGUUUCAUGAACUCAAUGGGAACUGUUCAGAACAUUCUCAGACUCUUGUGCAGAAGCAGAGAGAAGAUUAUGAGCGAGACUUCCCAGAAUGCACGAGAAAAAGCAAUAGUGCUAAAAGCAAGACUUUCCCACAAUGCCACAGUUAUGUGCAGUAAGAGAACUGCAGAAAGAAAAACUUCCCUUCAUCUUCCCCUUUCUUUUCUUGUUUGCGAGGCGUUCCAGGUGGAUAAGGCAAAAAUACUUCGGGAUUAGUGGUGUGCCAGCGAAUGCCCGAAAUAAGCUUGCCAGGGUCGAUGGGACAAAAAUACUUCAGGAUACAUGGUUUGCCAGCGCAUGCCCAAAAUAAAUCCGCCCACAUCUCCCCUAAGGUUUACUGUUGGUGUUGCCAUUUCGCAAAAUAGGCAGCAAGGAGUUUACUGGGUGGUUGAGGGGGAGAGAGAAGCCGAGAGAAAAGACUCAUGAGGCUAGGAACGCAUUGAAGGAAACAGCAUAGCAAAAUAAGAAUACAAAUUAUGAAAAUAGCAUAUUGAAAGAGACUACGAAGCCAAGUAAGGUUAGGCAGCCAAGCAGUAAGCCACUGGGUGAAAGAAUCCCAGAGGCCAGGAAAACCAAUGUCCUGUUUAAUGUGAUGUGUAAGAUUUUGCAAAUGAGAGAUUUGGCUUUGAAUGGCUCUUGAAUUGUCAGUAAUAUUGAAACAACACAUGUCAUUCACUUGUUCACAGCCAUAAUGAUGAAGCAUCAGCAAAUAAUCGAUAGCACGAUUUUGUAAAAGUCCAUUUUGUAGUUCACUGUUCUUUAUUCAAAAGGUGAAGGGCUUGAGAAGUAAAAUUCAAGGCUUUUUUGCUGCAGAAUAGGCUAAAAAAUUAAUGUUCAUACGAUUCCGUACAGCCAAUCCAGGGACUCCUAAGAGAGAAACAACUAAAGAGAUAUAUUCAGACCUACUGAGAAGAGAGACAAAAGCAUCACAAUCAUUAGUCAAUUCAAUAUUGCAGCGAUAAAAUGAUGGACAAACGGCUUAAACAGCAAGGUGUGCCAUGGCUGAUGUAUUGGCACAUGGUAGGGGAAUUCAGCAUUCCUUGUGGUAGGACUUUCCAUUGGUACCGUUCCGUGGGCUGACUGUUAUUUAACACAGGAACAGUAAAAGCAAAGAAUUUACGAUCUUUCUCCUGUAGGGGAAUGGAGAAAAAACAGUCUUGCAAAUCUAUUAUAGCCAAUUGAUAAGAAUGUGGAAUUAAAUUUGGAUUAGGCAGACCACAUUGCAAAGGCCCCAUGGGUUCAAGGAUUUGGUUUAUUUUCCUUAAAUCCUGGAGAAAUCUCCAUUUGCCACUCUUCUUUUUAUGACGAAGAUGGGUGUAUUAUAGGGGCUAACUGAAGGCUCAAUAUGGUCUGCCGAUAAUUGUUCAUUCACUAAUUGUUUUAAAGCAAGUAACUUUUCUCCUGUUAUGGGCCAUUGUUCCACCCAUACAGGACUGGUAGAUUUCCAGCUGAGGGGAAGUGCAAGCUUACUCAUUAAAUUGAAUGGUAGCUUGUAAUUGCUGUAGCAAGUCUCUUCCCCACAGAUUGAGGUGGAUUUUCAGCACACAGGGCUGGAUGUAAGCAAUGGUUUCAGAGCUAUCAGGCAGAGAAACAGGCAGCAACACUAUGCAUUAUGAAGAGGUAAGGCGGCCACCCACACCCCAGACAGCAGAGGCAGACUCAAGGGGCCACGUGGGGUCCCAGCAACUACUAGAAAUUACAGAAACGUCUGCGCCUGUGUCAAUCAAGCCUUCCAGCACAAUACCAUUGAUUUUAUACUUACGAAGAAGUUUCUUCUCACCAAUCCUCUGGACUACAGCUAACAGCUGUGGAGGGAAAGAAGAGAGCUCGUGCAAAUUAGUAUCCAUAAUAGAAGCAGUAGGAUGAGAAGGAGCACCACCAAAUGCGCCCAAGACUCACCCUUUUUAAUUGCAUGGGCAUAUGGCUCCAGAGUUGAACCAUUAUUGUGCCUACAUAGUCAGGAUCCAGAACUCCAGGGAUAACCUGGAUUCCUUCCUUUGCCGCAGAAAAUUUGGGUAAAAUUAAACCUGCGACGUUAGGAGGCAGGGGGCCUGCCAAUUGAGUGGGCAUAAGCACAAUUUCACCAGGUAAAACAGAGUCUUUGGUCUCCUGAUUGAUCAAAUCAAUGGCAAAUUCAGAGGGUGUGUUUUUUGAAAAGUUUGCAGCAGCAGAAAUUAAAGGUGGAAAUCUCUCUAAUUGCCCUGGCCCGAGAGUGGGGCCGUAAUGGAGUUUCCCGAACUCCUGCAUUGAUUAGCCCAAUGAUAGCCUUUGCCACAUUUCGGGCACUUUUUAGAAGGUUUAGCCUUAGAGGCAGCACCAUCCUUGUGUGCCCCCCCCCCCGCCAGGGGCUCUGCAUUGCUUGGCAAAAUGGCCUGGGCGCUUGCAAUUAAAGCAGUUACCAGUAGGCCUAGUGGUUGCUUGGAUUGCGCCGGCAAGCAAAGACAUCGCAUGGCUCUGGCUACCGACAUCCGCACAAGCUUGAAUCAUAUCGGCCAGGUCAUAUUUAGGGCGAUGUAUGAUUGACUGCAAAGCUUUCUUGCAAUCAGUGUUUGCGUUUUCAAAGGCCAAUUUUUUCAUCAAUUCAUUUUGAGCAGUGGUGUUAUCAAUCUGCCUAGUGACUGAUUCUUUCAAUCUAUCUAUAAACUGAUGGUAUGGCUCCGAAUGCUGUUGCUUAAUAUUUACAAAGGAGCUCAGCGGUUGCCCAGAGACAGGGACUUUCCGACAGGCGCGUUGUACACAGGUCGCGGUGCGAACAAAAUGUACAGGUGUCAGUGUUGCUUGGGCAGUUAUAUCAGCAAACUGACCAGCACCAUAAAGUUCAUUGGCAGUAUGUUGAGGAUCAGACAGGGCUGAAGCGCUAUGUUUAAAUUCACUCUCAAACACCACAUACUGAGCAGGGGACAAAAGCAUGCGCAUCAGGUCUUUCCAGUCCUGAGGUAGCAUAAUGUAACCAGUUGCUAUGCCUUCUAGGAUUCCUGUCACAUAAGAGGAUUUUAGACCAGAAUCAGCAAUGGCUUUCCUUAAUUCUCUCAUUACAGAAUAAGGAAGCGAUUCAUAAAAAACCUGCUGUUGAGCAGUUCCAGGGUUUGAAUAGGUGAUAGGGAAAGCAGACGGCAUUUCACCUGGCCACUCAGACUCCUCCUCUAAGGACAGGAGUCCUUUCUGCCUGGCCAAAGAGAGCGCAGUGCGCACAGCUCCUAUAGAGCAAACAGGGGCUGUGGCAGACGGAGAAGGGAUGGGGGGGAGGAAUCAGGCUGAGGUGGAGGGAUGGGGGGGGAGGAUGCAGGCUGAGGAGGGAGAGACGCAGGGGGGGAUUGGGUGGGCUGCAAAGGAAACGGAGGCAAAAGCUUCGGGUAAGGUGGGGGAUUGUCUGCGAUGGCGAAAAGUGCGGGGGCCGAGCGAGACGCCUGUGGUAAUUUAGCAACGGCAUCUGCACAUUUCUGCCAAGUGAGCAGACAAUGAAUCAGAGCCCUAGGUUCUGCAAAAAGGGUCUUUCCGAUCUUUUGCCAAGUCUCUACGUCCAAAGAACCAGCCUCUGGAUAAAAGGGACAUUCUAAAGCGAUCUCACAUAGCAAUUGUUCAAUUUCUUUUAAGGAAAUAUUAACACCCACCUCCCGCUGUCUGACUAAAUAAAGCAAUUCUUUAGCAUGCUCUUUCUGGAAUUUAGUCAAUUCCCCUCCCAUACUCACGAAGUAGCGCUGAGACUUGUCCAGUCGGGUGAAGUAUGAGGUUUGGCUGCGUAAGGGAUCUGGCACGUCAGGGGUCACCAGAUGUUGGGUUGAAAUCACGACAGACGAGUGGUGGGUGUCAAAGGAGAGGCGUCUUCCCGGGGCAAGCCCCGGGAACUCUCUUUUAUUGAAUAUUACAAACAUUGCCACAGGUGUGCUUGUGGCUGAUUGGUUGAUACAAACACAAAGCAUCUUGUUGCUGAUUGGUUAACAUAGGUACAAGGCGGGAAUAACAUAUUACAUUAAUCACUGAUAGAUUAAAGACUGGGAACGGAGCUGGAACUAGACAGGCAUGAAACCUCCUAAUUAAAUGGUAACUAAAGAUUGAUAUUGAGAGAACAUAACAUGAAGGAAUACAACAAUCACGUUCCGUAGAUGUGGUCAGCAAAGCAUUAAGAACAGGUCAGAAUACACUGUUUCAUGAACUCAAUGGGAACUGUUCAGAACAUUCUCAGACUCUUGUGCAGAAGCAGAGAGAAGAUUAUGAGCGAGACUUCCCAGAAUGCACGAGAAAAAGCAAUAGUGCUAAAAGCAAGACUUUCCCACAAUGCCACAGUUAUGUGCAGUAAGAGAACUGCAGAAAGAAAAACUUCCCUUCAGGUUUCCCCAGUGUACCUCUCUGGUUGUCUGUCUUCCAAGGAAUGAGUGCAUCUGCAUUACCUUGGCUAGGGAAUGUAGUGUUACGCUUAGCAACUCUCUGUUGUGUCUUUGUCUCUGACUUAGACACUGCUUCAACCUGUCUUGAGUUGUCAACAAUAGUAACACAUGCUACAGCUGAGUUAGCAAACUCUUUUGAAUACCUCUUGGGUGGUACACCCUUUGUAACUCUCUCGGACCUGCGUAUGAGGUGCUGAUCCUCUCUGCUCACUGGUUCAGUCUCAGGACUCUUUGGAGAACCAGUUCCGAUAGUAAACAGUGGUUCAUCCUUCACCUGUGAAGGUCUUUCCAUUGUGUGAUAUUUCCUC
rnacentral:lncRNA from 1 species